UACGUAGGGUGCAAGCGUUGUCCGGAAUUAUUGGGCGUAAAGAGCUCGUAGGCGGUUUGUUGCGUCGGCUGUGAAAUCCCGAGGCUCAACCUCGGGUCUGCAGUCGAUACGAGCAAACUAGAGUGUUGCAGGGGAGACUGGAAUUCCUGGUGUAGCGGUGAAAUGCGCAGAUAUCAGGAGGAACACCGGUGGCGAAAGCACUCUGCUGGGCCGACACUGACACUGGAGAGACGAAAGCUAGGGGAGCGAAUGGG
rnacentral:rRNA from 1 species